GGGACUGUGGCUCAGUGUUAGAGCAACUUCUUGACAUGCAGAAGAUCCCAGGUUCAAUUCCUGACAUUUCCA
rnacentral:tRNA from 1 species